CCCGCUGAACUUAAGCAUAUCAAUAAGCGGAGGAAAAGAAACUAACAAGGAUUCCCCUAGUAACUGCGAGUGAAGCGGGAAAAGCUCAAAUUUAAAAUCUGGUGGUCUUUGGCCAUCCGAGUUGUAAUUUAGAGAAGCGUCUUCCGCGCUGGACCGUGCACAAGUCUCCUGGAACGGAGCGUCGUAGAGGGUGAGAAUCCCGUCUUUGGCAUGGACACACCAGGGCUUUUGCGAUGCGCUCUCGAAGAGUCGAGUUGUUUGGGAAUGCAGCUCAAAAUGGGUGGUGAACUCCAUCUAAAGCUAAAUAUUGGCGAGAGACCGAUAGCGAACAAGUACCGUGAGGGAAAGAUGAAAAGCACUUUGGAAAGAGAGUGAAACAGUACGUGAAACCGGUAGGAUGGAAGCGGAUAGAGCCAGCGAAGCUGCUCGCAUUCAGCCGAAAGCCAUGGGCCUCGGGCGGUUUGGAUGCUAACCACGCCCGACUGUCUGUUUGUUCGUGGUUAAGGUGCAUUUGUGGGUAAUUGCGCUGAGACUUGUGGGGCAGUGGCUGGACGCGUGCAUAGAGGCUUCCCUUUGGGUUGAACCUUUGUACGUCGACGGCUAUUUGCUCUGCUCGUAACCGGGCUUGGCCUACGGGCCUGUACGUUUCUGUUGCUGCCGUUCGGUGAAGUCGCAUGCGACUUCUAGUUCGGCCGUCGUAGUUGCGUAUAGCGCUCUCAAGUCUGCUCUCGGUGUAGAAGCUGGUCAUCUAUCCGACCCGUCUUGAAACACGG
rnacentral:rRNA from 1 species